GGGUUCAGCCGGCAUUCGUGCCGGUGUACUUCCCUGGGGGCGGGCCAGCGUCGGUUUGGGCGGCCGGUCAAAGGCUCCCGGAAUGUAGUGCCCUCCGGGGCACCUUAUAGCCGGGAGUGCAAUGCGGCCAGCCUGGACCGAGGAACGCGCUUCGGCACGGACGCUGGCAUAAUGGUCGUAAACGACCCGUCUUGAAACACGGACCAAGGAGUC
rnacentral:rRNA from 1 species